ACCAGCUGCAAAGAAAAUUUUAAGUUACAUUCACACAGCUGGAUAGGCUAUAUAUCUUGUGACCGAAGUGCCUGAUCAACAUGGCUUAUGUUUAAGAUUUAGCACCUGUGAAUUUCAAAGUAGUUGCAGGAAUUAAGCAGAAGUGAUUUCUAAUGAGGAACUGCAAUUGGUUCCUUGCUGCCUUGCAAACUGAAAAGGACACAAAAUCAAUCAAAACUCAUUGUAAAUUAUUCAUCUGACUUUACGAGGAAUUUAACAAAAACAAACAAGCAAACUGGCGACAAUAAAAGCCCCUUCAUUCGGAGGGGAAGCUGAGCACAGCUCAGAGAGCCUGAAGAGCAAGCGUGGCUUCAGAGAGCGCUGUUCAGCAGCCUCCUCCCGUUUCUAUCUUGGAGCCCUUCGCUCUAGCCGCUUUCCUGCUUAUUGCUGAUGGGAUUAUGAAUUGGUGACGCUGAAGCAGCUCUAUGGAUCUGAAGCCACCAACCCCUUCAACCUGUGAGAGGGACACUGUAUUUCCAUGGUGAGGGCAUUUUCUUCAGCAAGUUCAAUUCACCUGGCACCCUGGAGCGUGCGCUGGAAUGGAACCGGUUCAGCUCCAUGGAUGUGGGUGCAGCAACCUGAAGGCACAUCGGUUUGGGAGUUGUUAAGGGAGACCUAAAUAUUUACAUCAAAGUCUGUGAAGGAAGGAGCCUGUUCGGGAGGACAGCGGUUUCGGACCCGGUGGAGGAAGCCGUCAGUGAUACGGAGGCCGUGGCUGAGCAGCACGGAAACCACCGCUGCGGAUGCAUGAAACAGGUAGCAGAAUAUGUGUGCCUGCUGAAGGGACUCCUUCGGUGGCUGCAGGCACGGCUCGUGCACGUCCCCUGCCCGACUUUGCGGUUCCAGGUGCGAGCUAUGCGGUAGCGAGCCACCCGUGCAGCUACGCAGCACCGCCUUGACGUCGACACCUUGACGGCAAACCACCUGCGUGGCAGGGCCGUGUGGCUGCUCUCGGCGUACCUGUCUCUCUGGAGGCACCGCAAGAAACUUGGGCAGAAGAGAGAUGGGCCAUUCGUCCAGCUUGUGAAGGAAGCAGGGGAUCUGAUACCGGCUGCUGAUUUUAACUAGCCUAUUUCAUGGUGUGUUAACUCUCAGACUAAACUGCUUGAAUAGCUAGUUACCCACAUAGUGUAAUUUAUAUGUGACCUUCAUGAUCACAGUGUCUGCAAACGCACAAAGGUUAAUGAAUUCUGUCUUUUCACACCAGUACGAAGUACUGAAGCAGUAAUCUCUUGCUGCAGCUGGAAAAAGAGGGCACAUGUCAUGUCCACCGUUUUAUCGUCUGAGAUUGAGGUGUGAACUAAAAACAGGUCUCCUGAGCCAAGUUCAGUGCUGAAGCAACGAGGUCGUUCUUCCUCUCGCUAGACCAUCCACCAGAUGAAUUGCAAUGUACACUUUAAAAUCAUAUUCAGCUUGUUUAGGCCAGAAUGCAAAUUUUACAAAAUUUGCCUUUGUUGCUCUGACACCAGCUCUCAUAGGUGGCUUUGACCUAUCAUAAUGAUUGCCAAAGUCCUGAUUUUAUUUGGAGAAGGUAAUGCUUGUGGUAGAGAGCAAAUUUUUGAGGUAUCCUUCUUUGUCUCUUACUCUCUCAUGAAAGCUUUUUUGUGUAGCAAAAUAUAUCAGAAAGGAAGUGCCUCUCAUAUGGCAGAUACAGUACUGAAGCUCCUCAGCUCCAAAGCACUUAGUACCUCCUCUCCCAUUAACACCGUGGCUUUCUUAAUUUGUGAGAAAGUAUCAUGUGUGAAUACAAUACAGGAAAAAGAAGAUAAAACAUAAUGAUUCUUAUUGCCUAUUUGUAGCUAAGAGCACAUGCUCCUCUUAGGUCAUUUGAAAGUAUCACGUAGAGAACUAGAGCAUAUCUGUUGCUAUUGUGAGACUGGAGUGGCACUAAGAUCUCUAGAGCUGUCAAACAACAGAACAAUAGGUUUUGAUAUUGCUUAUCUACUGCUAAAGAAUUGAUAUUCUCUCAUUCGUUCAUUCGUUCCUUCCCUCCUUCCUUCUUGCUUGCUUUGUUCAUGUGUCUUUUUGCCAGAAACUCAAAAAAUUUCAACUUCUUUUGUUCGUUUAGAGAGAUCUAAACUGGUUGCUGGUAUCUGUUGAAAUUAUUUAUGUUUUGAUUUUUUUUUUAACAGAAAGAAACAUUUAGCACUUUGUCCUGUGAGGAAAAAAUGUUAAAAAUUUCCAGCCAGCUAUACUGUUACUAUGUAAUGUCUAAACUUGCUUCUCACACAGUCUGAAAUGCAGUUGGACUCCAAAUCUCCUUGUGUCUGUAGACUACCAGGAUCUUUACAGCACAGCCCAUCAGGAGAGAUUUACACUCUUCAUGCUGUUCAGGUCUCCAUCUUGGGGAUAUUUAAUAUACAGAUUAUGAUGUCUGUGGGCAAUUAAAUAGCCUUUUUCAAAAUGCUAUAAAUAAUAUUAACCAUGUUGAAUGAAUAACACCACUUGGUGCUGUGCAAAUUACUAGCAUACAAUGUGCAAAUUGAAGAAGAAGGAUUUUAUUUUCAUGCAGAGAGACGGAAGUUUUAUGCUAGGAUGAGAUGGAGUUUUGUUCAUUUCCCAUUUGAUUUCAUAUGCAACUCGCUAAUAGCAUCCCAAUGUCCCUCCCCACAUUUCUUUUCUUGUAGUUUCUAAUGCACCUUAAAUGAUGAGAGCACUACAUCAAUAGUCUCAAUUUAGCCAGUGUGUGCUUUUGGCAAAAAAACAGCAAGUAUUGCUAGCAUAAAUCUCCCAUUACUAUAAUGACACAUUAAAAUGCGACAGGGGUUUAAAAUCUGUGUUGAGAAUUAUCCAUCCACCUGCUCUCAGAAAUCAUGUUGUAUAUGUUUAUCUUCUCUUUCACCCAUGUUUGUAGUAGAAUGACGUGCUGAGAAGGAAGAAAACAGGCAUUUAUCAACACACCAACAUUUUGUGUAGCAUUCCAGUGAACGUUUGGAUCAGAUACCCAACAUUGUUGGUGCAAGAUAAACAAAGAGAAUAGAGCAUGGCUGCCUAAUCAGUGGGAAUUAGUUGCAACCCCCUGCUUUUUCCCCGUGAUAAACUGAAAGUGACGCUGGCUGGAGGAAUAGGGUUUUAAUCUAGACGAAACAUUUUUGAAUACAUUUUCUGAAUUACAGGAUGUACAUUGAUCUAGCUGUCAUUCUGUUCCAUUUGCAGUGAUAGAUCUGCAGAAAAACACUUUUGUUUAAUUGAGAUAAUAUUGUAUUUUCCCCAAGUCCUUUAGGGGAGAACUGAUUUAUGAGGAGUGUUCUUCCUGAAAUAAAAAGACACUAGCACACGAAGUCCUGACAGCAGGGGCCAAAUUCAGAGGUUGCUCUGUACCACUGUCUAAAUGAGUCACACAAUCAUUGUAUUCAUCUCUGCAAGCUAAAGCGAUGGUGAUGUCUCUACUUUGAGGCCCAAAUGGACUGAGUGUAGCAUUCUCACAAAAUGGCAAUAUUUAUUGAGCUGGGUGCCCAAGCGCCGUAUUCAGAAAUGAUGUAGGACCAAGUAUAAUUUAUCUCACAGCUGAAGUAGUGUGAGGUACUCUGACUUCUUUCAAAAACAAAAGUUUCUUCCCUGCUGCUUAUCUUGAGCGAUGAUCUGCAGAAUUUAUAGAAAGCUGCUUUUGGAUAUGUCCAGCGAUACCCAAUACGUACAUUUGCAUCUUAGCAGUAAGCGUAGUUGCUUCUGCCUGGGAAGGGCAGCAGCCUGACGAAAUGCCAGCUGGUGAGGCAGUGCUGAGCUGCAUCAGUGAUAGGCCUGAGGUUAACACAUUUGUGCUCCAGAUGUUGCAUUAGCUUCCCAGCGUUCCACAUAACAGUUUGGGGGUGAAGAUUUCCUGAGAAAUUACGUUGCUCUCAUUGCUCUGCCAACAGCUGAAUUUAGCACUUCUACAGAAUGAUACAAAUCAACUUGCACCACCAGCACUGGGAAAGAGCCCAGCACGUGCCCAAAGAGACUAAAACCAGGAAGGAACAUUUUUGUUUUGCGGGUAUUGCUGGGUCCCAGCCCUUGGUUUUUGUUCUGCACUGGGCUGAAAAUAAACUUUCUAAUGUCUGUUUUCAGGUGACAGUCUAAGCCUUUGGAUUUGGUAAGCGCUGUUUGGGUCAAGCGAUCCUACAUGAAAGUAAGAAAAAUUAAUCUAAGAAUCUGACUGUCACAAUCUUUCUACCCCAGUGUUCAGGGUGCUGAGUGGAGAGGCAGAUUGUUCUGCCUACACCAAAAUGACCCAAGAUUAAAAAAACCCCACCAUUCAGAAUCUGGUAGCCAUUUGAGCUAGAAUCUCUUACUUCUUAGUAGAGAGCUCUAGAUACCUGGCCUGUAACCUUCUUCAGCAAAGUGGCCUUGACCCUGGGGAAACUGGGGAGUGUUGAGUGAAACAUUUCAGCUUUGAGAAAAUUUCUUUUGCUACUAAAAAAUGAAAUCUGGCCAACUCCAAAAGAAGUCUUGAACUAUCUCUCUUCUCCCUUUUAGCAUCCGUGCUUUUAUCCAUGGCAUUUAUGUAACAUAUUCUACUUGCAGAGCCCUUCUUCCUAACGGGCUACAAACCAGGAUUGUUCACUUGUUCGUGAGGCUCAACAGGGAGCUCUUCAAACCAAAUAAACUUGGGAAUUUUUUGUUGCUGACCUGGGCUGAAUUCACACAUUGAAAGUGCUAUAAAUCUUGUGCUGAAUGCACCACAAAGCAGUGGUAACAUAUAUGCCUCACUGCACUUGAUUUCCUUACCUCUUUCUGCAGAGAGAAAGGUUGUUACUGAAACACUAGCAUUUGGAAAAAGCACCAGAAGUCUGCUGCUGUUCGGAACAGUAGAAAUGCUGUCUCUUAAUUGGCACAAAAACAGUUUUCAAAUUUUAUAUGAUUUCUUCAGCAGUAACUGUGUCCUUUAAACAACCUGUAUUCAUCAAAGAACUUUCCUGCAAGCACAGUUAAUUCAUAUCCGCAGAAAAUGAAGUCUGCCUGGAGAAAAGUAGUAAGGACCUUUACUUUUAUUUUAUUAAAGUAAAGGCAAAAGCUAUUAAAAGGAGGAAAGGAGUUGGGGGGAAAUGUCCUAAGUAAAUUUUAAUUUCUUGUUCUAUUUGUAUCUAUGUGUACAGACAAUGAAUUCAGAAGGGAAUCCCUAACAAGUGUUUGGCUUUGAUUUCUUAUCAAACCCCAGCAGAACUGUGGGUGAUGUCGGUGAUGGGGCACCAAUAGCCCUCUGUUGCCCUGCCCAGCCUCACCUGGGAUGCACCGUCUGCCCACGGCCCGGGAGCUGCACCUGGACCUGGGUGCCCAGCCAUGCCCGAGCUCCACCACAGCCCUGUUAGACCUGCAUAGACCUUCGACCCGUGUUGUAGGUAGGUUGUCAGCAGCCCUGUCUCUUGGAUGGACCUUGGAUGUUGUAGCUUCAUGUCCAGCCCCAUCUCCUGCUGCUCAUGUCGGGCUCCCAGAUGGACCCUGGCCCAGGUUCAUCCCCUUGUGGUGCCUGGAACUGUGGAUGGACCCCCCUACCAGUGCCCAUCUCUCCCCGCUCAGCGACCUCUGCGACCUGUGGCUCGUGUGGCUCCUGGCAGACGAGGGGCUGGCCCUGGCGAAGGCAGAGCUUGAACCCGCUGCUUGUCUCGGCACGUUCAUGCAGAGUGCCGUCCACGUUGUCCACAACAGCCGUGUGCAGAUCGGGUACCUUAUUUUUAGUAUAAGCAUUUCCACCCUCUGAUGCAAGACACAGCACAAAGCAUCUGAUAGAAAAGAACUGAGAAGACACUUUUGAUGAAAGGAAAAGAGAAUAUGCAGGUUGAUCUAAAUUGUUUCUAUUUCUGUUAAAAUAACCAAUUUACUAGAGGAGAAAGAAAUGUAAGAGGAAACACUGUGUAUUUCUUCAAACUAAAAUCUGUGCUUUCUGAGGCAGUACAGGGAUUAAUAUAUUAGCCCUGUUUUUGCAGACAUUUGAAAGAAAGAGUCCAUAUUUCCACGAGAGUAAAAAGCCUAUAGGGGGUUAUGUGUUUGGUUCAUAUUAAAAGCUUACAAGGCUGCCCUUGAGGGGCUGCUUGCUGUGGCUUGUACCUGAUUGAAUGUGAUUUGCCUUUUCUGAGAAAAUCAUUCUGGAAAAACAUGAGUUGUCAAAGCUGACAACAGCGGCGGUACCCCCGCAUGUGCUGUUAAAACCUCUCGGUGCAGCCAGGGGACUAAAGGAGGAGGGCACGCAGCUGCAGCGCGGGAGACCGGUAUUCAGCCCUACCGUGCCGACCUCGGUGCCCACCAUCCAGGUGAGCGUCCUGCUGACCUGCUCGCAGGUGAUCUGUCGCUCUCCUGCCACUUUGUAUAAAUAAUUGACUCUCUGUCGGAAAAGAGACUUGAACCACAGUCUUUCAUAGCCUAGCUGAGCGCCCAAGCAGAAGAGCUAUUAGCUGCUUUGAAAUAAGUAGGGGAUCUCCUUCCUCUGUGUGCUGGGCUUUCUGCCCCCGCAAAGAGGGUUGUUUGGUUUCGUUUGCUUCGAGUUGCAAGGUUUCGCCGGCUGGGAAGGUCUGUGCCUGGCCAACCAGCGGUGGCUCCUCGGGGUGGCAAAGCAUCAAGCUGUAACAACUUCUGAGGCUGUCUGGAGACAACCACCACUGAAUGGUCAAAACAGCCCAAUGGAGAAGUUUCAAGGAAAAUCCAGACCGCAAAAAGAGCUUUACAGAAACUACUAUACCCGGAGAAAAGGAAAUGGUGCCUCCCUUCAGAUGUCCCUAGAAGCUAGGUAGUUCAGUCUUAUAGCAGUUAAGUUAAUUGCCAUACAUGUAGCUGCACUUUCAUCGCCUGCCCUUUCUUUCAGAUACCAACCUGAAUGCAAGAUACAGAUUACAGUCUCUUAGAGGCCCAUAAUUUCUGGAAUAAAAAAGAGCUCUAGAGAGGUGGGACCUGGUUCCCUUUGCAUCUGUCUGGCAGCUGCAGCAAAAGCAACCUGCUGCCAGGCUGGUAGGAAGGAGUGAGAAGUGACUGCUAAGUGAAAGUCAUCUGGAGUACCAAUGUUGACUCUGUGCAGCUGGGUCCCCAGAGCUUGGAGGCAACGAGCAGCUCAGAGACGAUUAUGAACAGGUAAUCAUUUGAAAGGAAUUUCAGACUAUCUCUUACCGUAUGUUCACUUGGGUUUCCAUGUGAUUCUACAGAGGCUUUAUGCCAUACUCACUUUUAUUCAGGAUUUACACUAGCAAGAAGCAGACCCCCAUAAUCAAGUCCAUUCAAAGUUAAAUCUCACAGUCCCAAACCGCAGUGUUUUGUUCAGCUGUACCUGAUACACUGCACAAAUCCAAAGGCCAGCUUGUACGCUUCCUUUUGGCAGGAACUGAAGGGUACAGCAAACUCCUCUGUUAAAAUAGCAGAGUCAAGAAUGGGUAACCCAAAAAAAGGUCAGUGAACUUCUAGUUAAUAACAGAGGAAGUGAAUGACGGGGUUGCUGCCAUGACUUGAUUUACCAUCAGGAGGUUUUCCGACAGGGCCUCUUUGUGCUGAUUAAAGCCCUUGGUGCGUUGUGUCAGACAGAGUGGCACAGGGAGAUGUGUCUCUGGUCAUGUUUUAGCGUGGUUUAGCAAUGGGUCCCCCAAGAGGCAAACAGGUGUAUUGAUUCCUAUAUCAGGGUAUGGGGAAAAAAAUCACUAAUUAUUCAUUGUACCCACUCAUUUGGGGAUGAGGGGAGAUGUGCCAGAGUCAACACUGUCAUGCAGCCUGAGACAAACCGUUGUCUUCGCUGGAAGUGUUACAGGGUGAUGUUUGGAGAAAGGGCCCUUUAAAGUAAUAAAUGUUGAGUAAAACAGUGAAAACAUUUUCAGUGUUAAAUCAUUCAGUUCUUUUAAUGAAAAGAGAGAAAGUAGCAUGAAGGAACAAGGGGAGAGAGCAGGGGACAAAUCUGGUUGCUCUCUCACUGGUUUUAAAUAAGCACCUCUCCAGUUUUAGCAGGCAGGUGCAACAACAUGUGCUUUUGACCUUUGUCUAAGCCACAAGCUUUGUUUUACGUACAAGAGGUAUGUUCACAGUUUUAAUAGGACUUCUCUCAUGGGUGAAAUAAAGCCCAUGUGUAAGUCUGGUGUCUGUUUGCUUGCUUGUUUUUCCUCUGGAUCAGGAUACUGGAUUGUAAGCUGAGGGAAAAAUCCUCAUUUACUGUGUUCGUAUAGUACUUAAUGCAAAGGAACUGACUGACCUCUGGUAGAGGCCUCUAGAAGCUCCUGCAACAAAAAUGAGAAAUAGUGAUAAUGAGGAGACCUUCUCUGACUUUUUUCUUUUUUCUUUUUAUAACAGCAAUGUGCUGAGCUUUCUUCAGGAACAGGAGCUUUAAUCUCUCUAACUUUCUGUGUAAUGCACUUUUUCAGAGUCUAUUUUUGUUUGGAGGCAAGAAUUUUCUGCUUUACUUAUUCUUUGUCUAUGUUGAAGAUAUGGGGAAAAGAUGACUAUCACUCCUUUUUAUGUACUGUCACCUAUUACCACAAGUUUUAAUGGUCGAUUUCAUGUGCAUGAGACACUCUGCUAACAAAUGGUUAGAUAUCUACUUUAUCGUUAGCCACCACAUUACCAGGGAGAUAUUUUGAUUUAAAGAGAUGAAUCAGACUGAAGCAGUAAAAUCAAUUAGAGUUACAUCUUUCUAGAAAGAAUGGAUCUGGGCAAUGAGGUCUUAAUGGGAGUUAAUCUUUCUUGCAGAAAGAUGUUUUGAGAACUACUGUGGAUCAGGUCAUCUCGGGUCAGGUCAUCUCCCUUAUAAUCAUAAUGGUAAAGGUUAAUUCUUGUCUUAAGUAAAACUGUCACAAAUGGUAUAUUCAGAAAGAAAAUUAACUGAUACCCUUUUGAUGCUUUACACGGUGGAUAGUGGGUUGCGUGAAGUGCAACAAAGAAAGGCGUUGACAAUUCAUGAACUUCUUUAAUUAUAGAUUAAUUUCUAUGCUAACAGUUUCAAAUUCCUGAAAUGAGUACUUUAUACUUCUGGCAGAGACUGAGCAAAGACGGGCUGCUAGUCUUGCAGCAUGCCCAGCCCUUGUUGCCCAUGCAACAUCACACUGAUCAGCUGAUGGUGCUUGGCUCUCACAGGUUAACAGUAGGACUGGGACCUCUGUUUUACAUAAAUGAAGCAGAGCUUGUGGAAAAAAAACUUAAAGUUUAAUAAAUGGCUGAAUUAUGAGGAUAAAAUAUUAAUCUUAGAGUCUUUGAUCUAUAAGAAAUUCCCUUACACAGUGAAGCUCUGCAAAGUCUCUUUACUAAAAGCUUGUUUCCUCUGUAAUGUAGAGGGAAGGAAUGAGGAUUUUCAUAGCCAAAUCCUCCUCUAGGCUUCCUGAAUGUUUCAGUUUGUCUACAUGUAGGUAGACCCUGCACUGGGGAGUCUGUGGUCUCUCCAUUUUGGGGAGUCAUAUUCACACCUGUUCCUGCUCUAUAAUGAGUUCAUUCACUGUAGAGAUGAUCAGGAAAUAUAUCUUGGCGAGGUGGAGGGACUAAGAAGCUGUCUGCACUUUUUUUUUUAGAAAAAAGAAAAGUAUUCAUUGUGGUGAGAUUUUCUAAGAUACCUGAAAUGAGAGCUGGAAUUUGGCUAGGAAACAGCCAAAUGGUGCCAUUUGGCAGCAUUGUGUUUUGCACACCUCUAUAAACAUGGCCAGACAUUUCUGCACAUAUCAUCCUGUUAUUACACUAUGAGAUAUCCAUCACAAUAAACCAAUAAUUCAAAAGAAUUAUUACAGCAUAUUACAGCAAAAGAAAUAUUACAGCAUGCAUUCCUUGGCAACCUUGUUAUUUAGAUACUAAUCUAGUCUGCCCAGCCUAAUUGUGACUGGGCUGCAGCAGAGCAUGGCUGCACCUCCCUUUGUAGCAAUUUAGACUUAAUAUGUUUCCUAUAUCUGGUCUUCAAAGUUAAGUUUUUUUCCAGCAUGCAGCAAUAACGGCGAAUGUAUGCCUUGUGCAAGACAGUAGUAUUGAUGCAGAGUAAACGCCCCACUUCAAGCUGCUGCUGAACAGCUGAGCUGGUGCUUCAGUGCCAGGACUUUCAGGCUCUUGAUCCCACUGUAUUUUAGACCCAACCACUGGUCAAUAAAAAUUCUGGGUAAUAUAGCCCUCCAGCCCUUUGUGCCCUCCCCCCACACAAAAAAGAGGCUAAAGAAAGCAAGAAAAUAUUUUUGAAUCUGUACCCUCCAAUGCUGCUUAAAAAACAGCACAUUGCUUCUAGUAGAAUAAUGAUUUCUUGAUGGAUUCUCAUAAAUGGACUGUUCCUACAUUAUCUAAAAUAAUUGGUUCAUAGCUACCACAAAACGAACAGCAGGUAGGAAAUGAGUUUGCAGUUGCCAAAACAUAAUGGAUCAUUUAGUCAUUCUCUGAAGGUUUUAACACUUUUUUGGGCCUCAGAAAGCCUGGUUCUAAUUGCACUAUUUUUAUUAGAAAUCCAUCUAUUGAAAUCAAUAAAUUUACAUCACUACCAAAUCAGAAUAUGGCCCACAGAAAAUAAACAUUUAGAAUAGAUAUAUUCAAAGUGUUCUUAAAACUUGCAAUAGCUAGAUCCUCUGAUUUAACUGAUGAAAACUACAAUCGGGAAUGUUUUUUUCCUCCUAUUUUUAUUAUGGCUUGAUAAUGGUAUAUCUAAGGCUUAUAGAAACAAAGAAAACAUGGAUAGUAAGCAGAACUGUGCUUUUCUGCAAAACAGCUGAGUAGAGCAUGAUAAAUCCAUUGCUAGGAAAGAAAUGAUGAUCUCAGAUUAAUGUAUUUCAUGAAAAUGAAAAUAUGUAUUCAUAUUUCGUAUGUAUUUGGAGGUAAAAACCCUGCCAAGGAAGAAAUUCCCACUGCUCCAAGGUUUCCUCUUCCAGGUUAUGCAAGAGGAAUUCUUAUGUUCAUGGUCUUAAGGUGAAAGCCGGGCUAUCAUUUAAUUAACAGGACAAGUGAGACACACAUCCUCAUCGGCGGCCAUGCACCCACACCCCUUGGACCCUCUUCUGGCCAUUCUCUUCCUAAGAGAACCUCUUUGCAUAUUUUGCAUUUUCAUUUAAGCAGUCUCCUUUCUUUUCCUUUUGCCUCCUCAAAGUAAUUGCCAGCCCUGCUUCCCCACACUAACAUUACUGACAAAAAACAGUCAUGAAACCACUUAACACCUCAAAGCCUUGAACAGGGGUCAUCUUUUUUUGUUGCUAUCAGAUAUCUUGUGUGAACCACUGGUUCCAUAGACAUCUAGGGGGGAAAUUUGUUGAGCAGACCCAGGAUGACAUCCACGGGUUUUCACUGAUAAGCUCAAAUCUGUCCUGUCAUUUCAUGUUUACUGUUUUCUGGAAAUUGUUUUAUCCCUUUUUCUUUCCUUCCUUCAAAUGAUGUAUUCCUUUUUGAGCAAGCUGCUUUAUGAAAAGGAGCUGAUCGAGCCAUGCUAAUGUUAUCUUUUUUCUUUUUUGUAAUUACCCCCUUUAAUAGACCUCAUAUUUGAAUUAUAUUCUUCUGUCUAGAGGUUUCAAAGAGAUGAUAUUAUGCAAUAAGUUUGAAAACUGCUUAGAUUUUUUUUUUUUUUUUUGUGAGUGCUUUAGUGUACUUGUUCAAGAAGACAUAAUUAAGACACAGAGAAAAGAAAUGUAUUCCACUUAGGUAAGCAGACAGCAUAUUAACCCAUAAAAAGAGUCAAAUAAAAUGAACUUACAGAAUAGGAAACUUGAAGAAAAAGAGUAAAGCUCUUGGGAAUUUUCUCUUAGAACACAAUAUAUGAAAAAGCAAAAAAUCUUGCAAUAAAAAAUGUCAUAAAC